AUUCCUCUGUGCGUGGGAUUUCCCAGGCAAGAAUACUGGAGUGGAUUGCCGUUUCCUACUCUGGAGAAUGGAGAAUCUUCCCAACCCAGGGAUGGACCUAGAGUCUCUUGUUUGGCAGGCAGAUUCUUUCCCACUGCGACACCUAUCGACACUGCGACACUGGGAAGCCCUACCCAGUUUUUUUAAGGUACCGGUCCAUGUUUCUGCUCUCAUGAAGCAUUCUUAUAGUGGGAAACAAACCAAACAGGCAAACACAUAUGUGAAUGACAUGAUUCCAGAUAGUGAGCCUUGAAGACAAGAAGACAGAAUGGUGUGCUGAGAUGUACAGUGCUGAGCAUCUCAUCACCCACGGGUACUACUGCAGGAGUAGCUGUCGUGUUUCCGAUGCUUCUACCUUUAAAGUAAAAGUCGCUCAGUCGUGUCCGACUCUUUGCCGCCACGUGGACUGUAGCCUACCAGGCUCCUCCGUCCAAGGGAUUCUCCAGGCAAGGAUACUGGAGUGGGUUGCCAUUUCCUUCUCCAUUACCUUUAGGUCCCAGUAAUCUAAAAGCUUCUUUAUUUGGGCCCAAUCAUGUACAUGGAGCACCUAUUAUGUAACUAUAAUGUACUUAUAUCAUCUUUAUUUUACACUUCGGCAAGACAUUGAUUACAAACAUGAUGCGCGCGAGCGGGUGACAUUAUCCUUACUUUCUAGUCACAGACGAGCGGGUGGUUUACACUCCAGCCUUCCGUAGGGAAAGCGGCGCUUGGGUCCGG
ensembl:lncRNA